AGUCGCCAUUAGUACAUUUAGUUUCUGAAGCUGAACAAGUCGAUUGUUGUCCAAGAACCUCUCCACAAUAAUUUAAAUCAAAAUGAAACUCUUCUAUUUAUUAAUAUCUUUUUUCUUCGUGGAUGUUUCGGCAAAUUAUUUUCUGACUUACUUGGAGUAUAUUAUCACUACAA